rnacentral:pre_miRNA from 1 species
CGCUGGCUUUUUCCACGGUGAUACUCCAAAGCAAGUGGUUAUCACCGGGUGAAAACUGGUAGA